rnacentral:tRNA from 1 species
ACACAUCAGGAAUAUAUCUCCUUUUUCGAUUUUGCAGGUCGAUGUUUUAAAGUAAACUAUGAUGGG